UCUCCAUGACUUCUUCCGUUCGACUUGGAUUCGAAAAAAAGCUUCUGCUCCAAAUUUCAGGAGUGAAUUCCCUCACCAAAUUUCAAAAGCCAAUUAGCUCCUGAUCGUUCCAAUUGAACUUCCUUUCCUUCAGUUGUUCCCAUCAACAUCAUCUCCCUGGAACCUACGAGCUUAGUUGGGAUUCCAGUUUUCCGAUGAUGAUCGACGAUCCCGGCAACGCCCGCCAUCGAGGUUGGUCUGAAACGAUUCCUCAUCACCUAUGAUUUGAAGGCCAUUGCUCUAUCAUCCGUGUAUAUUUUUCCAUAAUGAAUGACUUAUGUAUCAAGCACUAUUGACAAUGGAAUCAUAGAAAACUCAACAUGAGCCAUUCCAGCCGCCACUUCAUGUCGAAAGAAGAACGAGCAAGCCACUUUCUUGGAGGAUUUGAAGGAUCACAUUAAUGAUCUUGUCAAUGCAUCUAAGGAUGAACACAAAACUUGCUUCAAGAACACCAUGCAGAAGUUGUUUGGAAUGUCAAAGAUUGUUGUUGAGAGGAGCCAUGACACCACGAAAGUUUAGGGUACUCUUCCCCUUCAAGCCACAGUACAAAAUAGAACAUCUUCUUUUAUGUUUUGUAGGCAGAUACAUCUUGAGAACCAAACUUCGCUUUCUGGCUUUAACCAAUUAGAUUCUGGUGAUGUAUAUUUUUUUUUAAAUAUUGGCACCUGCACUUCCAAUUUCUAUUAUGGUCGUUCUUAGUAUGUAGUAUGUACCACGUCACCGUCAAAUUUGAUGGGUGAGAUCUACCCAAAGAAACUCUAUUGUUUCUUGAAUUAAUAUACAUGGCUAUGCUCUCUACAAA